AUUGAACGCUGGCGGCAGGCCUAACACAUGCAAGUCGAGCGGAUGAAGGGAGCUUGCUCCUGGAUUCAGCGGCGGACGGGUGAGUAAUGCCUAGGAAUCUGCCUGGUAGUGGGGGAUAACGUCCGGAAACGGGCGCUAAUACCGCAUACGUCCUGAGGGAGAAAGUGGGGGAUCUUCGGACCUCACGCUAUCAGAUGAGCCUAGGUCGGAUUAGCUAGUUGGUGGGGUAAAGGCCUACCAAGGCGACGAUCCGUAACUGGUCUGAGAGGAUGAUCAGUCACACUGGAACUGAGACACGGUCCAGACCCCUACGGGAGGCAGCAGUGGGGAAUAUUGGACAAUGGGCGAAAGCCUGAUCCAGCCAUGCCGCGUGUGUGAAGAAGGUCUGCGGAUUGUAAAGCACUUUAAGUUGGGAGGAAGGGCAGUAAGUUAAUACCUUGCUGUUUUGACGUUACCAACAGAAUAAGCACCGGCUAACUUCGU
rnacentral:rRNA from 1 species